rnacentral:snRNA from 1 species
GUGCUUCGGCACAAAUGUUAAAUUUGGAAAAAUACAGAGAAGAUUAGCAUGGCCCCUGCGCAAGGAUGACACGCACAAAUCGUCCAAAUGUUUUU